rnacentral:rRNA from 1 species
UACGUAGGGGGCGAGCGUUGUCCGGAAUUAUUGGGCGUAAAGAGCUCGUAGGCGGCCUGUCGCGUCGGAUGUGAAAGCCCGGGGCUUAACCCCGGGUCUGCAUUCGAUACGGGCAGGCUAGAGUUCGGUAGGGGAGAUCGGAAUUCCUGGUGUAGCGGUGAAAUGCGCAGAUAUCAGGAGGAACACCGGUGGCGAAGGCGGAUCUCUGGGCCGAUACUGACGCUGAGGAGCGAAAGCGUGGGGAGCGAACAGG